rnacentral:rRNA from 1 species
CCUACGGGAGGCAGCAGUGGGGAAUAUUGCACAAUGGGGGAAACCCUGAUGCAGCGACGCCGCGUGAGUGAAGAAGUAUUUCGGUAUGUAAAGCUCUAUCAGCAGGGGAGAAGAAAGACGGUACCUGACUAAGAAGCACCGGCUAACUACGUGCCAGCAGCCGCGGUAAUACGUAGGGGGCACGCGUUAUCCGGAAUUACUGGGUGUAAAGGGAGCGUAGACGGGUGUGCAAGUCUGAAGUGAAAGCCCAGGGCUCAACCCUGGGACUGCUUUGGAAACUGUGAGGCUGGAGUGCUGGAGAGGUAAGUGGAAUGCCUGGUGUAGCGGUGAAAUGCGUAGAUAUUAGGAGGAACACCAGUGGCGAAGGCGGCUUACUGGACAGUAACUGACGUUGAGGCUCGAAAGCGUGGGGAGCAAACAGGAUUAGAUACCCGUGUAGUC